AGCGAACGCUGGCGGCAGGCUUAACACAUGCAAGUCGAGCGGGCGUAGCAAUACGUCAGCGGCAGACGGGUGAGUAACGCGUGGGAACGUACCUUUUGGUUCGGAACAACACAGGGAAACUUGUGCUAAUACCGGAUAGGCCCUUACGGGGAAAGAUUUAUCGCCGAAAGAUCGGCCCGCGUCUGAUUAGCUAGUUGGUGAGGUAACGGCUCACCAAGGCGACGAUCAGUAGCUGGUCUGAGAGGAUGAUCAGCCACAUUGGGACUGAGACACGGCCCAAACUCCUACGGGAGGCAGCAGUGGGGAAUAUUGGACAAUGGGGGCAACCCUGAUCCAGCCAUGCCGCGUGAGUGAUGAAGGCCCUAGGGUUGUAAAGCUCUUUUGUGCGGGAAGAUAAUGACGGUACCGCAAGAAUAAGCCCCGGCUAACUUCGUG
rnacentral:rRNA from 1 species